rnacentral:rRNA from 1 species
CAGAGGGUGCGAGCGUUGUCCGGAAUCACUGGGCGUAAAGGGCGCGUAGGUGGCGACCCAAGUCAAUGGUGAAAGCUCGAUGCUUAACAUCGAGUCGGCCACUGAUACCGGGUUGCUGGAGCACUGUAGAGGCUCAUGGAAUUCCGGGUGUAGCGGUGGAAUGCGUAGAGAUCCGGAAGUACACCGGUGGCGAAGGCGGUGAGCUGGGCAGUUGCUGACACUGAGGCGCGACAGCGUGGGGAGCAAACAGGAUUAGAUACCCUGGUAGUCCACGCCGUAAACGAUGGGCACUAGAUGCUUGGGGGAGCGACCCCCUGAGUGUCGACGCUAACGCAUUAAGUGCCCCGCCUGGGGAGUACGGCCGCAAGGCUG